rnacentral:lncRNA from 1 species
GUAGGUGCUAAACAGAUGCAUGGUUGCUGUCGUUUUUCUUUUCAGCUUUUCCUUGAGUAAAACAAGUAAACCGGACCCUUUCCAAAGUGAUAUCUGAAGUUCCAGGAGACAAGCUUGGAGAAAGAAGGCCCCUAGAAUGGACGCCCUCUCUCCUCCCUCUCCAGGUCUUCCUUCUGUAAGAACCUAUAUCAGCUCCACUUCCAGUGUAUCUACUGCUACAGCAUCAUGUUCUUUCAUUGGUGGGCUGGUGUCCCACGUGUUCUGGCUGGGAAGAUUCAGUUUGUAGCCAACACUACUCAUGCUUUUUGCCAUCUCUUCACCAAGUACCCCUUUCCAAUGGACUCCAAAGCAACCAUCGUUUCUUCAUGUAUUUUGGCCUCAGCAUCCUUUUCUUCGGCUUCCACCAGCAGACAUCCCCAAGGGACCCUGGAAGAUGCCGAGAUAAAAAGUGGAACCAGGGACUGAUACUAACAGAGCUGUCCUCCUGGAGACCCUGGCAGAGGACAGCAUAGCUCUUAGCAGAUUCCUGGAACUGCAGUUGGUUGGAUGAACAAUGUCCUCCCUUCUAGACCUGAGGAGGGAUGAAAUGGAUUAUGUCUUCAUACCCACUUCUCACAUGGAUUUGUAACUAUUUGCUAACCUCCUGCUUCUACUAGACAUAGUCUUAUAAUGGAAGGGACUGUCACCUACCUCAUUUCAACAAAUGUGUCUCUAGGGCUCAGAUUCAGCAACUGGUGGUCAUGACCACUGGUAAAGGACAGGCCUGGGUGUGAAUGAAAUCAAGGAUGGCUGGCAAUCUGACUUGGAGUGGGAAAUUACUUGGUUUCUGAAGUAGUGCUGAACAGUUACCCCUUUCCCAACCCACCCCCUCCCCCCCCAUAGCUCUUGGCUUGCCACCCUCUAUAUGUGUAUCUCUGCAGUUGUAUGGUUCCAUGGUCUGUUAUUGGGGUGAGAGAAAUGGCUAUGUGCACGGAUGAGAACUGUUUUCUGUCAACAUGUGGAUCUCUCUGCUUUGUUCACUUGUCUCUUCUGUAAAUAUUCACAAAUAAAAUGAUCCAAGAUCAAUGGCUC